rnacentral:tRNA from 1 species
AAGGGAGACCUAAUUCGGGUAUACGACGAAAAAAGAGUAGUCGAAACCAAGAAUCAAUCCCAAAAGGUCGGAACGAGGUAUGUGGCUUUCAAACUAGGUUCUGGGUUCACACAAGACCUGAAUCAGGAACAAGGGCUAUUAGCUCAGGUGGUUAGAGCGCACCCCUGAUAAGGGUGAGGUCCCUGGUUCGAGUCCAGGAUGGCCCACCUGCACAGGUGGCAAAAACAAAGAAGCGAGGAAUCAGCACCUUAUCUUAUCUAUAUAUAAGAGAGAAUGCUGGCUCUGAGUAAAGAGUCCAGAGGAACCUUGAAAACUGCAUAGAGCUAGGUGAAAAAGCCAAAAAAGAAGACCGCAA